rnacentral:lncRNA from 1 species
AAUGACCCAACAUCUUACGGGUCAAAUUAAUAAUUACAAUAAUUUUAGGGUUAACUCCUGCGAGUAAUGCUUACAAUAUUCAUAACCUAAAAGUCAACUCACAAUAUUCAAACUUAAACAAUAAUAAUAAAACUAACUAAAAGUAAAGUAAAAUAAUAUAAAAUAAGAAAAAUAAAAAUAAAAGAAAAAUAAACAACCUAAGGAAAAUGGAGGG